rnacentral:ncRNA from 1 species
CGGGGGUACUCCCCAAUGAUUGGAAAGGAGUUGAGACAGUCCCAUUGAACCUGAUCCGGCCAAUACCGGCGUAGGGAAGCAGAUAUCU